rnacentral:rRNA from 1 species
GACGAACGCUGGCGGCGUGCUUAACACAUGCAAGUCGAACGGAAAGGCCCUGCUUUUGUGGGGUGCUCGAGUGGCGAACGGGUGAGUAACACGUGAGUAACCUGCCCUUGACUUUGGGAUAACUUCAGGAAACUGGGGCUAAUACCGGAUAGGAGCUCCUGCUGCAUGGUGGGGGUUGGAAAGUUUCGGCGGUUGGGGAUGGACUCGCGGCUUAUCAGCUUGUUGGUGGGGUAGUGGCUUACCAAGGCUUUGACGGGUAGCCGGCCUGAGAGGGUGACCGGCCACAUUGGGACUGAGAUACGGCACAGACUCCUACGGGAGGCAGCAGUGGGGAAUAUUGCACAAUGGGCGGAAGCCUGAUGCAGCAACGCCGCGUGCGGGAUGACGGCCUUCGGGUUGUAAACCGCUUUCGCCUGUGACGAAGCGUGAGUGACGGUAAUGGGUAAAGAAGCACCGGCUAACUAC